rfam:Bombyx mori DNA, contig: Bm_scaf95_contig35206, strain: p50T/Dazao, build 2, whole genome shotgun sequence.
UUAACUCAAAUUUGUAUGGAGUUAAAACGUUUGCCUACGUUAGCCGCUAGGGGCGCUGUUCUAACUGCAUACAAAUGGGAGUUA